rnacentral:rRNA from 1 species
UACGUAGGCAGCCAAGCGUUUGUUCGGAGUUACUGGGCGUAAAGGGUGUGUAGGUGGCCUGUUAAGUUCCGUGUGAAAUCUCCCGGCUCAACCGGGGAGGGUGCGCGGAAAACUGGCGGGCUAGAGUACGGGAUGGGAGAGUAGAAUUCCUGGUGUAGCGGUGAAAUGCGUAGAUAUCAGGAGGAAUACCGGUGGUGUAGACGGCUCUCUGGACCGUAACUGACACUGAGACACGAAAGCGUGGGUAGCAAACAGG